UCCUACGGGAGGCAGCAGUGGGGAAUAUUGGACAAUGGGGGCAACCCUGAUCCAGCCAUGCCGCGUGAGUGAUGACGGCCUUAGGGUUGUAAAGCUCUUUUCUCCGGGACGAUAAUGACGGUACCGGAGGAAUAAGCCCCGGCUAACUUCGUGCCAGCAGCCGCGGUAAUA
rnacentral:rRNA from 1 species